rnacentral:rRNA from 1 species
AUGGAUUACAAAGACUUUAAUUAUGAUAGUUGCUCUAAGAUUGAUUGUAUUUCUCUGUUGCAAUCCAUGAUAAAUUCACCCCAUGCUUAUGAACAAAAUAAAGCUUUUACUAAACAUAUUGUUGAUGCUAUGAUGAAAGCUUUUGAAGAAAAAUUGGAACUAGAAGUUUCAAUUCUUAGAAAAUUGCAUGAUGAAUGGGAACCUAAUAUCAAAGUCAAGAUUAAAAAUUAUUACUGUUUUGCUUUGUGUGAUUUGGGUGCUAGUGUUUCUACAAGUCCGAAAUCUUUAUGUGAUGUGCUUGGUCUUACCGAUAUUGAAUCGUGUUCUUUGAAUUUGCACUUGGCGUAUUCCACUAUUAAAAAUCCCAUGGGAAGAAUUAAUGAUGUUCUUAUUCUUGCAAAUAGAAAUUAUGUGCCCAUAGAUUUUAUUGUUCUUGAUAUUGAUUGCAGUCCGUCUUGUCCAAUUAUUCUAGGUAGACCAUUUUUACGCACUAUUAGUGCCGUGAUUGAUAUGAAAGAAGGCAAUAUUAUGUUCCAAUUUCCUUUGAGGAAGGGUAUGGAACACUUUCCUAGAACAAGAAUUAGGCCACCAUAUGAAUCAAUCAUGAGUGUAUCUUAUGGAUCUCGAAACAAGGAUGACAAAACUUAG